UGAACGCUGGCGGCAUGCCUUACACAUGCAAGUCGAACGGCAGCGCGGGGCAACCUGGCGGCGAGUGGCGAACGGGUGAGUAAUAUAUCGGAACGUACCCUGGAGUGGGGGAUAACGUAGCGAAAGUUACGCUAAUACCGCAUACGAUCUAAGGAUGAAAGUGGGGGAUCGCAAGACCUCAUGCUCCUGGAGCGGCCGAUAUCUGAUUAGCUAGUUGGUAGGGUAAAAGCCUACCAAGGCUUCGAUCAGUAGCUGGUCUGAGAGGACGACCAGCCACACUGGAACUGAGACACUGUCCAGACUCCUACGGGAGGCAGCAGUGGGGAAUUUUGGACAAUGGGCGAAAGCCUGAUCCAGCAAUGCCGCGUGAGUGAAGAAGGCCUUCGGGUUGUAAAGCUCUUUUGUCAGGGAAGAAACGGUGAGGGCUAAUAUCCCUUGCUAAUGACGGUACCUGAAGAAUAAGCACCGGCUAACUAC
rnacentral:rRNA from 1 species